GACGAACGCUGGCGGCGUGCUUAACACAUGCAAGUCGAGCGGUAAGGCCCUUUCGGGGGUACACGAGCGGCGAACGGGUGAGUAACACGUGGGUGACCUGCCCUUAGCUCUGGGAUAAGCCUGGGAAACUGGGUCUAAUACCGGAUAUGACUCCAUGACGCAUGUUGUGGGGUGGAAAAGCCUUGUGCGGCUAGGGAUGGGCCCGCGGCCUAUCAGCUUGUUGGUGGGGUGAUGGCCUACCAAGGCGACGACGGGUAGCCGGCCUGAGAGGGCGACCGGCCACACUGGGACUGAGACACGGCCCAGGACUCCUACGGGAGGCAGCAGUGGGAAUCUUGCGCAAUGGGCGAAAGCCUGACGCAGCGACGCCGCGUGAGGGAUGAC
rnacentral:rRNA from 1 species